rnacentral:rRNA from 1 species
UACGAAGGGGGCUAGCGUUGCUCGGAAUCACUGGGCGUAAAGCGCACGUAGGCGGAUCUUUAAGUCAGGGGUGAAAUCCUGGAGCUCAACUCCAGAACUGCCCUUGAUACUGGGGAUCUUGAGUCCGGAAGAGGUGAGUGGAACUCCGAGUGUAGAGGUGAAAUUCGUAGAUAUUCGGAAGAACACCAGUGGCGAAGGCGGCUCACUGGUCCGGUACUGACGCUGAGGUGCGAAAGCGUGGGGAGCGAACAGG